rnacentral:misc_RNA from 1 species
GAAAUGCGAUAAGUAGUGUGAAUUGCAGAAUUCAGUGAAUCAUCGAAUCUUUGAACGCACAUUGCGCCCUAUGGUAUUCCGUAGGGCAUGCCUGUUCGAGCGUCAUUUUCACCUUCAAGCCUUGCUUGGUGUUGGGUGACUGUGGCCCCUUUGGGGCCACUCGCCUUAAAGUCAUUGGCGGCCGGUUCGUUGGCUUUGUAGCGCAGCACAAUUGCGUCCUCGAAGCCGCUGGACCAGCUCCCAGAAGCUAAUUUUAAAUGUUUGACCUCGAAUCAGGUAGGGAUACCCGCUGAACUUAAGC